rnacentral:rRNA from 3 species
AUCUGGAGAGGAUGUUUCUGGCGCGGCGCCUUCCGAGUUCCCUGGAACGGGACGCCGGAGAGGGUGAGAGCCCCGUACGGUUGGACGCCUAGCCUUUGUGAAGCUCCUUCGACGAGUCGAGUAGUUUGGGAAUGCUGCUCAAAAUGGGAGGUAAAUUUCUUCUAAAGCUAAAUACCGGCCAGAGACCGAUAGCGCACAAGUAGAGUGAUCGAAAGAUGAAAAGCACUUUGAAAAGAGGGUCAAACAGUACGUGAAAUUGUUGAAAGGGAAGCGCCCGUGGCCAGACUUGUACCCCGCGGACCAUCCGGCGCCCUCAGCGCCGGUGCACUCCGUGGGGCGCAGGCCAGCAUCGGUUUUCCCAGGGGGAUAAAGGCGGCGGGAACGUGGCUCCCUCGGGAGUGUUAUAGCCCGCCGCGCCAUGCCCCUGGGGGGACCGAGGACCGCGCUUCGGCAAGGAUGCUGGCGUAAUGGCCACCGGCGACCCGUCUUGAAACACGGACCAAGGAGUCAAGCAUUGGGGCGAGUGUCUGGGUGCCAAACCCGCACGCGAAAUGAAAGUGAACGCAGGUGAGAGCUUCGGCGCAUCAUCGACCGAUCCUGAUGUUCUCGGAUGGAUUUGAGUAAGAGCCUUACCGCUUGGACCCGAAAGAUGGUGAACUAUGCCUGUAUAGGGUGAAGCCAGAGGAAACUCUGGUGGAGG